AAGGCCAGGGGAGGAGAUGGGGGCCCAGGCUCAGCUCCUCUGCUCUCUGCUGCUCUGGAUCUCAGGUUCCAGAGGGGCCAUUGUGGUGACUCAGUCGCCAGAAUUUUUGUCAGUGUCUCCAGGAGAGAAAGUCACCAUUAACUGCAAGACCAGCUCGGGUGUUAAUGAUGAAUUUAAUUGGUAUCAACAGAAGCCAGGAGAGGCUCCCAAGCCCCUAAUUUAUGGAGCAAACAGGCUGCAUACUGGGGUCCCUGCGCGGUUCAGUGGCAGUGGGUACGGGACAGAUUUCUCCUUCACAAUCAGCAAAGUGGAGGCUGAGGACGCUGCAGUCUAUUACUGUCAGCAUGACUAUCGUAACCUUCCCACAGUGAUACAGCCCCGAACAAAAACCUGCCCAGCAGCUGCUGAGGGAGCAUCGGGGCCCCAGGGGCCUCUCCUUCCCCUCAGCUGGGAUGGGGCAGCUUGUCUGGGCUGCCUCGGGGGAGGUUUCUAGGUCUCAGAGGAAGAUGCUGGGGCUGUGAGAAUUCUGAGCUUGAUUCCUUUCCCAGCCAAGAAUCACAGAGUGACAUAAAACUAAUAAGUGGAUGACACCCAAAGGUGUUUUCUCUGACCCAAGCCUGAGCAACAAUUCUGUUUCCAAAUCCCCACA